rnacentral:tRNA from 1 species
GCUCCAAUGGCGCAAUGGUAGCGCGCAAGACUUCUACUUAUGACUCUAGUCACUGUGAUCUUGAGGUUGAGGGUUCGAGCCCCUCUUGGAGUG